CACGCGCCACCACGCCCAGCUGAUUUUUGUAUUUGUAGUAGAGACAGGGUUUCGCCAUGUUGGCCAAGCUGGUCUCGAACUCCUGACCUCAGGUGAUCCGCCCACCUCGGCCUCCCAAAGUGCUGGGAUUACAGGCGUCAGCCGCUGCGCCCGGAACCUGAUAUGUCUUAUUUUUCUAACUAUGGAAUUUUUUUUGAAAGGGCUGAAGACUUUCUACUGGGUACUACCCUCACUAUGUGGGUGAUGGAAUCAAUAGAAGUCCAAACAUCAGCAUCACAUGAUAUAUCCUUGAAACAAACCUGCACGUGUAACCCCUGAAUCUAAAAUAUAAAACAAUUUAAAAACUCUGUGUCUUUAAAUGUUUUCCACCUGCACCUGAAAGAAGAAGAACCUACGCAACUUUGAAUCAUACGAAGGAGUAAUAGAAUCUUAGAGUUGAGCCAGAGAUCUCAAUGGCAGCUGGGGCUGGCCAGCUCUUCCAUCAUGUGGGUGCCCCUGGGGAAACAGGGAUUGGAGUGUGCUGACUUAUACAAGCGCUGGGGAGCUAGCCACAAAUGUCCACUAUAUCGCCCCCUUCUAGAAAAUUUCCAGCAAUGAGAUCCUCACUGCCUUAGAAGGUGCCUGCUUCAUGGUUGGUUGCCUUUCAUUGGCACAGGCCUGGGAACCAGGCUUCCUGGGUUCAAAUCCCAGCUCCACCAAUUGGCAGCCCAUAAUAUUGGGCAA
rnacentral:lncRNA from 10 species